CGGCCGCCGGGGAGUACGCGCCGGCGCGCCGGCUCCUCGGGCCACAGGGAGGCUACGGCUCCUUCCCUGCCACCCCAACCUGGGGGCCGACCACGCGCGGGCUGAGGCCGAGCCGGCGGUUCGCAUCAGCACCCGGCCCUCGCCUCCGGCCGCAGCAGCCACCACCAAGCUGAUCUGCACAUGCUCAGUGCGUCCCUCCAGUCCCCUGGGCGUCGCGGCGGCUCCGGGUUUUAGCCGCGGCCCCGGGGCGGGGCGGGGCGGGGCGAGAGCGCCGAGGGGGCGGGGCGGGGGGGGGGCGGAGAACCGUGGGGAAGCCCACCCAGGGGGCGGGGCCGGCAGCCCUGGUGGGGGCCAGGGAGCCGCACCCACCCUUGCUACCUAAUCCCAGGUGCCUGAUUGGACCUGGCCUGAACUUUCCCGCCACAGGCACCUCCUGCAGCUGCUGGGACAGCGAACUGCGCGGGUCUCUGAGCCAGGCCAACAAAUGGCAGAUGCCUAUUGGAAGAAGAAAAUCUAAACUAAUUCAGCUUUUAGAAGACAGAAAUCCAGAGAAUUACUGUGGAAGCCUAACUUGAAAAUGAGGUGGUGACAUCAGUCCCUUUGAUGCUGCUACACUGCACAUGUGGACAGGCAGAAGGAUGAUACAGACUCAGGGUUCAUCUUUGCUCCUGUGCAUGGCUAAGAGAGGCUCCAUCUCCAUGCUUCUGAUAGUGCUAAGAGAAAAAAAAGUGAUCUGGCCAACUGUAUUGUAGCUCAUAAAGCUCCUGCCUAAAAGUGGCAAAAGUUUCCUCCACUCACAUUUCAUUUACCAAAACAAGUGACAUGGUUACAACUAACCUCAAGGGAACAGGGAUAUGCUAUGGUACCAUAUGGCCAGAAGAACUGGAAAUAUUUUGUGUAUAGCACUGCCUACUACAAUAGGUCUUUUACAUAAGUAUUUCUUGUUACGGAAUAAACUGAAGGCUAAGAUUUACCUAAAAUAUUUUGGAUGAUUCUCAUAAAUUUUGUACUUUUUUUAUGUGGUUGUUUGGCUAUGAGUUCUUUGUUAUUGUGUGUUUGGCUCAGCGUAAUAUGUGUGUAUAUAGUUUAAAAAUCAAUCUUUUACUAUUGUUUCCUAAUUUAAUUGCAUUGUAAUUAGAGAUUAUGGUCUGUAUAAAUUUGAUUGCUUGAAAUUGAUGGGACUUCCUUUGUGGCUUAGUAGAUUAUGAAUAUAUGGAAAUGUUCCAUUUGUACUGGAGCAGCAGUAUGUCUACAUUCUAUUUGUUAGGUGCAGGGUAUCUACACACAUAUAUAAUUCAUCUAAAUAUAAAUAUAUGUAUCUAAAUAUAUAUUUAUAUAGAUUCAUAGCUUAUGUAUAUUUGUUUGAAAUCAAAUUACCUACUUACCUCAUUCAAAUCUUCUGUAGUCCUACUCAUUAUCUAUCAAUUACUGAAAGAAAAGUAUUUAAAUGUGCUAUUAUGGUAAUGUAUACGUGAAAAUAUGUAUUUGUUGUUUUAUAUAUUUUAUGCAUAGAUGUUCAUGAUUUAGAUAUUCUUUGAAGCAUCCCAGUU
ensembl:lncRNA